AACAGAAACCCUAGUCUAAAAAAGGUAAAAAACAGAAACCAAUUUAGUUCAAGUCUUAAACAGUAGUGAACAAGAGGAAGUGCUCUGCUACUUUGUACAAUAGUUA